rnacentral:lncRNA from 1 species
AUAUGCAAGCUCACUUAAGACAUUCAAGGAGGUCUGGAUCCUUUCCUCACUGCCCAGGCCCGGGCCCACCCCACCUUUAACCGUCAGGGUUCCCCACUACCUGGGAAGCCCCACACCCUCCAAAGAUGCGCUAGGUGCGCCAGACGCAUGCUCCUCUGCUCCGCUGGCUCCGAAGAACCAGAUCUGAGGCCAAGAUAAAACCCGAUUCCUGAUGUCCGACCCCCUAACAUUAGAAGUCGAGAGAUGAAGGGAAAACUCGGAAAUCAGAGCCAUGGAUUCAAACCAGCACUGGAAAAUGCCCCGGGACAGUUCGUGCUGAGCGCCUUAGCCACAGGAAACAUUUUCCUGGGCAUCUAAAAGUAUUGUGGACCUGAGACACUGUGCUUACAGGGCCUACUGGUUUUCACUGUAUGAGACCGAGAAUGGAUUAUGGCAGUUCCUCUUACCUCCGCUGCAUACUUGACUCCAUCCACGGUGUGCUCAGAGCCAUGAUCAUCCGAAGAGCCCCAGUGAAGAUGAAACUGGCGAAGUCGGUAGGGUCCAGGGAGAGGACCCCCUCUCAGCACUGUGAUUCAGAUAAGCUUGGUCAACAGUGAAUUCAUGCUUCUUUUACAGAGCUCUACUUUAACCAAGUGCUCUUAGAGCCAAGGCUUAAUGGACAAAAUGUGGUCAGUUUGCUGGGUGGAUGGUGCCACUCCCAGGACACUGGACUCCUCACAAAAUGAAGUCUGGGGAUAUGUCAAGAUAAAUGAUUGUUCUUUUCUGUCUUUCUUAUUUUGUUUGCUUGUUUCAUUAUUAUUGAAACAUCAUUUUAACAUUUAGGAAAGCAA